rnacentral:snoRNA from 1 species
AUCCUUUUCUAGUUCAUAAGCGUGACGAUUGGGUGUUCAUGCUAUUGUGUGAGACGUGCCUACCUCGAAUCUUGUUACAUUAGCACAUGACCCGUCUAACG